GCCCGGAUGGCGGAAUUGGUAUACGCGUUGGACUUAAAAUCCAAUGUCCUUUUCGGACUUGGGAGUUCGACUCUCCCUCCGGGCA
rnacentral:tRNA from 1 species